rnacentral:tRNA from 2 species
GCCGCCGUAGCUCAGUGGUAGAGCGCACCCUUGGUAAGGGUGAGGUCGAGAGUUCGAUUCUCUCCGGCGGCACCA